GCCCUCCUAUUGGCCACUGUGUUCAUAAAGGGGCGUGGCCACAGCCAGGCUCCCGCCCAACCACCGGGCACGAGUAGGAGCGCGCGCCGAGGGAGGGAGUUCGGUUGAAGCGGCGGUUCCAUGCGGAAGUGGCGGGUGCAGCGCCCAGGCCGCCCCGGAAUCCCACAUCAGGAUAGGAAAGGUGGCCUGGGGCGGGGAAGGUUUAGCGAAGGGCGCACUGACACGUCGCCAACACUUCCGGUGCUCUAGAUCUCGGGACCGAAUCGGCUGUGAAGGGGGCGUUGCCGCUGUCCCCAUCACCCCCUUUUACUCCUCAGAAGGGCGAGAGCACAAACUCCAGCGGGAGAAGCAGUGGGUUUUUUCCCCCCGUGUGAGGCCGAGGGGCCAGCGUCUCUCUGAGAUGCCACAUGUACAGGUGGCCGACCCGAGUCCCACGAGGAUGAGGCCCCGCCUCCACCCCUUAGUAGGCGCGCGACGUGUGGUAGCGUCCACGGGGCCGUCCAAUCAGAAUGCUCCAACGCAGCGGAAACGCGUGGCCUUUAGGGGAGGAGCCCCAGCUGCCUGCGUCUCCAUGGCGACGGUGUCCGGCGGGCCUGCGAACCUGAGUGGUUGAGCUAGGGCUUUCUCCUCCCCGUGGGUGGUGAUCGCUGUUGGGUGACCUGGCCCACCUGGCACAGGCACGUCCCGAACUGCCCAGCGCUCUUCUGCUUUAGCGUCCCUACCCUUGGGUAUCUGCCCAAACCCCUAUUUUUAACGCUGAGAAAACGGGCUGAGAGAGUUCCACCGCAAACCCCCACCGAAGCCAGGCCAGCCUCAAACGCGCUUUGUAGCUGAGGGUGGCACCAAGCGCCUGGACCUCCUGAGCUACCUCACCAGCCCAGCAGCAUAUUUUUAAAGCUAGCCUUGUGGGACCAUUGAGUGUGUAGAUGUGCGUCAAUAAAUACAUCUUGAGUGUUUGGGGCCACAGAGA